rnacentral:rRNA from 1 species
UCGCCGUGUAAAGCCCCUUCGACGAGUCGAGUUGUUUGGGAAUGCAGCUCUAAAUGGGAGGUAAAUUUCUUCUAAAGCUAAAUACUGGCCAGAGACCGAUAGCGCACAAGUAGAGUGAUCGAAAGAUGAAAAGCACUUUGGAAAGAGAGUCAAAUAGCACGUGAAAUUGUUGAAAGGGAAGCGCUUGCAGCCAGACUUGCCUGUAGUUGCUUAUCUGGACUUUUGUCCAGUGCACUCUUCUGCGGGCAGGCCAGCAUCAGUUUGGGCGGUUGGAUAAAGGUCUCUGUCAUGUACCUCCUUUCGGGGAGGCCUUAUAGGGGAGACGACAUGCAACCAGCCCGGACUGAGGUCCGCGCAUCUGCUAGGAUGCUGGCGUAAUGGCUGUAAGCGGCCCGUCUUGAAACACGGACCAAGGAGUCUAACAUCUAUGCGAGUGUUUGGGUGUCAAGCCCAGACGCGUAAUGAAAGUGAACGGAGGUGGGAACCCUUUGGGUGCACCAUCGACCGAUCCUGAUGUCUUCGGAUGGAUUUGAGUAAGAGCAUGGCUGUUGGGACCCGAAAGAUGGUGAACUAUGCUUGAAUAGGGUGAAGCCAGAGGAAACUCUGGUGGAGGCUCGCAGCGGUUCUGACGUGCAAAUCGAUCGUCAAAUUUGGGCAUAGGGGCGAAAGACUAAUCGAACUAUCUAGUAGCUGGUUCCUGCCGAAGUUUCCCUCAGGAUAGCAGUAACGUAUUCAGUUUUAUGAGGUAAAGCGAAUGAUUAGAGGCCUGGGGGUUGAAACAACCUUCACCUAUUCUCAAACUUUAAAUAUGUAAGAAGUCCUUGUUACUUGAUUGAACGUGGACACUUGAAUGUACCGUUACUAGUGGGCCAUUUUUGGUAAGCAGAACUGGCGAUGCGGGAUGAACCGAACGCGGGGUUAAGGUGCCAGAUAUACGCUCAUCAGACCCACAAAAGGUGUUAGUCAUCUAGACAGCAGGACGGUGGCCAUGGAAUCGGAAUCCGCUAAGGAGUGUGUAACAACUCACCUGCCGAAUGAACUAGCCCUGAAAAUGGAUGGCGCUCAAGCGUAUUACCCAUACCCCGCCGCCGGGGC